rnacentral:rRNA from 1 species
CUUUGUACCAAAGGAGCAAUCCGCUUUGAAAUGAGCUCGCGUCCGAUUAGAUAGUUGGCGGGGUAACGGCCCACCAAGUCGACGAUCGGUAGCCGGACUGAGAGGUUGAUCGGCCACAUUGGGACUGAGAUACGGCCCAGACUCCUACGGGAGGCAGCAGUGGGGGAUAUUAGACAAUGGGGGAAACCCUGAUCUAGCAACGCCGCGUGAAGGAUGAAGGUUUUCGGAUUGUAAACUUCUUUGACGAGGGAAGAUAAUGACGGUACCUCGAGAACAAGCCACGGCUAACUACGUGCCAGCAGCCGCGGUAAUACGUAGGUGGCGAGCGUUGUCCGGAUUUACUGGGUGUAAAGGGCGUGUAGGCGGGACUGCAAGUCAGAUGUGAAAUACGGAGGCUUAACCUCCGGGCUGCAUUUGAAACUGCAAUUCUUGAGUGAUGGAGAGGUAAGCGGAAUUCCCGGUGUAGAGGUAAAAUUCGUAGAUAUCGGGAGGAACACCAGUGGCGAAGGCGGCUUACUGGACAUUAACUGACGCUGAGGCGCGAAAGUGUGGGGAGCAAACAGGAUUAGAUACCCUGGUAGUCCACACUGUAAACGAUGGAUACUAGGUGUGGGGGGACUGACCCCUUCCGUGCCGGAGUUAACACAAUAAGUAUCCCACCUGGGGAGUACGGUCGCAAGAUUAAAACUCAAAGGAAUUGACGGGGACCCGCACAAGCAGUGGAGUAUGUGGUUUAAUUCGACGCUACGCGAAAAACCUUACCAAGGCUUGACAUCCUACUAACGAAGUAGAGAUACAUUAGGUGCCCCUCGGGGAAAGUAGAGACAGGUGGUGCAUGGUUGUCGUCAGCUCGUGUCGUGAGAUGUUGGGUUAAGUCCCGCAACGAGCGCAACCCCUGUGGUUAGUUGCUACGCAAGAGCACUCUAGCCAGACUGCCGUUGACAAAACGGAGGAAGGUGGGGACGACGUCAAAUCAUCAUGCCCUUUAUGUCUUGGGCUACACACGUACUACAAUGGCGGUCAACAAAGGGCAGCGAAGGCGCGAGCCGGAGCAAAUCCCCAAAAGCCGCCCCAGUUCAGAUUGCAG